rnacentral:rRNA from 1 species
GAUGAACGCUAGCUACAGGCUUAACACAUGCAAGUCGAGGGGCAGCGGUAUCGAAAGCUUGCUUUCGGUAGCCGGCGACCGGCGCACGGGUGAGUAACGCGUAUCGAACCUGCCUCAUACUCGGGAAUAGCCUUGCGAAAGUAAGAUUAAUGCCCGGUGUUUUCAGAGUCCCGCAUGAGGCUUUGAACAAAGAUUUAUCGGUAUGAGAUGGCGAUGCGUCCCAUUAGCUUGUUGGCGGGGUAACGGCCCACCAAGGCAUCGAUGGGUAGGGGUUCUGAGAGGAAGGUCCCCCACAUUGGAACUGAGACACGGUCCAAACUCCUACGAGAGGCAGCAGUGAGGAAUAUUGGUCAAUGGGCGGAAGCCUGAACCAGCCAAGUAGCGUGCAGGAAGACGGCCCUCCGGGUUGUAAACUGCUUUUAGUUGGGAAUAAAACGGGGCUCGUGAGCCCCCUUGCAUGUACCAUCAGAAAAAGGACCGGCUAAUUCCGUG